UGCUCUUCCGGUUCCUUCUGAUCUCAGCCAGAGAAACGAGGGCAGCUGCAUGCUAAGAGGAAGAGAAAACCAGGAGAAAACCUCGGAGUUUACCUGUGAAAAGGAAAAAAACAGUUGGAGCACUUACCCACUGGAGGUCCGGAGCCAAGUGACUGAACGAAGGAGAGAGUUACGUCGGCUAACCACUUGCCUUUCACCCAGAGAGCCGCGGCAAGGUCCGACAUCGGCGUGCUCCGCCUUGAUACACAGAGAGCAACGGUCAGGUUUUUUGGAGGACUGAAGAGUCUGAGGUUCAGGACAAACUUCCUGCUGUAACAGAUGGCGAGCCAACCACCCUGAAGAAAGAUCAGCACCGAGAAGAUAUCCACGUACCCACUCAUUCACACACACAUUAUACAUUUACAUUACACUACAAAGACCUCUGGAAUCAGGUGAACUUGCAAUAAUCCUACAACAGGAAAACCUGCAACAACUCCUAUUUUACUUAAGGGCCCCAACGGACAAUUUUUUGUUUCAAGUGUGCACACUGGGUUUUUCUUAUUGUCUUACUGUUUGUGUUAUUAUUUUGUAUUCUGUACAAAUCAGACAAAUUGUUUUAUCCACUGUUUAAAAUUAUACGAGUGGCUACUCAACUAUUACCCCUGCGAUUGCCUCAUUAUUGUUGCUUAGUACAGUGGCUCCUCCCGAAUGUAGUGUCUUCUGAUUCUGGUCCAGGUAUUAUAAAUAGUCCAAGUAAUUAUUACACUGUAAUUCACUUUUAUAUCCCUAAAGUUGGUUACAGAAGUGGCGAGCCAGCCAGGAGCCAUUUGAUUUGAGCAUCAGUAUUGAGGUAAUGACCAGUAUGGAUUUCAUACAAAAGUCUGGUGUCAUAAUUCCAAACGCAGUUAUUGUCAGUGGGAUAACGCAGGUGGCUGAACAAGAUGAACAAGUGCUUUCUAAAACAGUAUGGUAAAAUUGAGAGAAUCCUUUUGGUUGAUGAUUCACAGUCCGAGUUCUUUCAAAACCUGAUCGUUGAAUAUUCUAACGGUUCAGCCUUAGAAGGUUUAGAACCUCACUUACCGCUCAGCUCACAUGGUCCCACCUAGCUCUCAGCAGCCAAUCAGAGGCUACGCAGGCCACGCUCAGCCUGUCGGCUCAGAGGCGAAGUGCAGGCGCGCUGCUCUUCCGGUUCCUUCUGAUCUGAUAAAGUUGGUUACAUCUGCCUGUUUCUCUGAUGUAUGUUUUCUCGCAAGAUUUGCACGGAAUUUCAUAAAUGAUGUUGCAUUUCUUGUCCGGUUCUAUUUUGUCUUUGGGAUGGACUAAUAGCAGCCGGAGUUUUGUAUGUGGUUUUACUGCUGUGUUGAUGUUGUGUUUUUUCAUUAUGCGCUGUAUGGGCUCUGUUAUCCCAUGGAUAUAUGGGAUGGUGAUUAUGUCUUUAUUGUUGUUGUCUGGUUGUUGUGUGCGUUUUGUUUGUGUUUCCUUUUGGGUUUUUUUUACUUUGUUUUUAACUUGUUGUUUUCCUUUGUUUAUGGCCCAUGUCGGGUAUUGGCAGAGUACGAGUGCGUUCUUGAUGUGUUUUUCCUCUUCCUGUCUGUCUUUAUCAUCUGUUAUGAUGCUGGUCCGUUUAUAAAGUGUUCUAACUACUGAUAGUUUGUGAGCUGUGGAUGUUCUGAUGUCCAGAGGAGGUACUGGUCUGUGUGUGUAGGUUUCCUGUAAACUGUGGUCUUAAUGCUGCCGUCUUCUCUGUGGUGUAUGUUUAAGUCUAAAAAUGAAAUGGUCCGGUUUAUUUCUUCUUCGUGCGUGAAUUGUAUAUUUCCUGUGUCGUCCAUGUUAUUCAGAUGAUCGGUAAGUUCUUGUGUGUGUCCAGAUUUUAUUAUUUCCAGGAUGUCAUCAACAUAUUGUUUCCAGAGUGUGGGUCUGCAGUGUGUGGGUGAUGUGUGGAUGGCUUUGGUUUCUAGGUUCUCCAUGAAAAAGUUGCUCAGUAUUGCAGAUAGUGGAUCUCCCAUUGCAAAACCUUGUUUUUGACUGUAAAUAAUUCAUUGAACUGAAAAUAGGUAGAUUUGGCAACGAACCGGAGUAAUGUGAUAAUGUCAUGUGUAAUGUGUUGACGUCACAGUGUCCUUCUUAAGUCGUUCCUGUACUAUGUGUAAUGUGUUGACGUCAUAUUACACAUCGUACAAGAGCGACUUAAGAAGGAUUAAUUUCAAGUCAUUAUUUGGGUCAUUUUGGAGAAUUUUUAGUCCAGCCUCUCUAGACUUUUCCUCUCUGCUCAUCAUCUGUAGAAAGAUGUUCCACCAUGCUGGAUGGAUCUCCAACUACUAGAUCCUCUGUUCACUGUUUUUAAGCCAUGCUGCACUUUACUCUCAGUGUAACUGUCCAAAACAACUAAAUAAUUGUCCAAACUGACCCAAAAGAUUGUCCAGAAGAACCCCAAAAAUUGCCUAAAAUAACUGUAACAUAACACUUAAACAUAACAUAAAACUUGUCCAGAGUAAUAUAAAAUUGUGCAACAUAACUCGAAAGCAUCUGUUUCAGCCUUUUCCUGUGCAGCGACUGAGCAGCGACCACAUUCCUGUACGUCCACGUGUGCAUAUGGGGCAAUUAGCACGUGUGAAACCGUCCUGCGGCAUUAACCCGGGUGAACCCGCCGAGCCGGAGCUAAAACAAGACGACAACUGUGUGUGACAGGGUUACACAUGCAUGUGCUGGCAGUUCACCCGUCCAAAUCCAAGGCUUUAAACGUUUUCAUCUCAUCAUGCAUGCACCACCGAGGGAACGUGUGUUUUCAGCUUUCUACAGAUUCAUUCAUUCAAAAAUCCAAUUUUCCAUGAGAAUAAAAUAAAGUGAAUAUUCUCUGAGAUUAAAGUCUUUAAUUAAUACUGGAGAAAAAUCAAACAUUCUCUGAAAUAAAAAUAAUACAUUUCCGAGAAAAAAAACUUGCGUAUUUUCCAACAUUAAAGUUGAAGAGAUCCCUACACGCUUUACAAUCCAAGAGGGGGCCGUCGUGGUAAACUGGUAAUAGUGGCCCAGUGUUUGUGGUUAUUUUGCUGAAACAAAAAUCAUAUACAAAAUUUUCUUUUAAGGUCUUUUUUCAGAAUAUAACUGAAAAUCUGCAUUUUUUCAUUUAAAAAAAAAAAAAAAAAAACAGCCAAAAGGGGACCAUCAGCCCUGCCUGACAUCUACAUAUCAAAGAGUGGCCCUCCAUAGCCUUCAGUGGAGCUGUAGGUGUUAACACAACAGUUCAGCCUGACCGACAUCUACACAUCAAAGAGGGGCCUCCAUUGCAGGCUCUGGAGGGCCCCUCUUUCAUACGUAGAUGUCAGUCAGGGCUGCGAUGGAACUGUCUGUGUUACACAAAUAAAUUGGUAUUAAGUCUAAGUGUAACUUUAAAGUUUUAAAUGUUUAAACACUUCACCAAAUAUUGUGAAAGUCAUUUGACUUAGUUUUUCUUACAAAUCCUUGAUUUGUUUGGCUUGGUUGCUUGGUUGCAUCCAUUAAAAUCAUGCACUUAUCAAUAGCUGUGACAUCAGAAACAAUUACUUAAUUUUUUUUAUAUGUGUGCCUCCAUGUCACAAAUAUUUAGAAAUACAGUUGAAAUCUUUGUAAAGUAAUAUUUUUGAAUGUUUGUCACACUUCCUGACAACAAACAUGUCUUUGUUUUUCAUUUUAUAUUAGGGGUUCUCACAUUUUGCUGUGCUAGUAUGAAACAACUAUGAAAUGAGAUAAGUGUGAAUUUCAAAUUGGACCUUUGUAUUGCCUCUUUAUUAUUUCACUUUUGAAGGUAAAACCUUUCAUUUGAGGCUCGGAUUUAAAAACCUCUGCAACUACAGUUUAUUGUGGUCUAAUGAACAUCUUUUCAGCAUUCAUUUCAGAGUAAAUAAUUAUUAGAACAAUGUCACAAUAAAAGUUGUAAAUGAUUCUUUCUCUAAUCAGGACUAUAUUGUAAAUACUGAAAUGAUCUAUCUAUGUAUAAACACUGGGGUGUUAAUGUCGCUCUGUGCUAUCUAAAAGGGCCCUCGUGUCGUUAUGGACUAUCUAAAAGAGGAUCCCUAUCAUUCUGUACCACCAAAGUGUGGACCUUAUUCUCUGUCAGCAAUAAAAUCAAUCAAUUUUGUGAAUAAGUUUCCACUUUAAUUGAAAAUAGAUUAAUUGAGGGAACUAUGAUAUUAUGUAGCAUUACACUCACCUUCCUGCAGUAAGUAAUUGAAAAUAAUUUUAAACAUUGCAUCUACCUGUAGAUUGUGUUCAAAACAAACUGAAUGAGGCUUAUUUCAUUUAAAAUGUUAAACAGAAAAAAGUAGAAAACUACAUUCAGUCUUGAUGACUGGUGCAGAACAAAUGCUGACAGUGACUCUACUAUUGGCAGCAAUGACAGUUUUGGGAGGUGGUGACCAAAUCCUGUGCUGAUGUGACUGAGAUAUUUGGUUGCACCGGUGCUACUAUUCAGAAACUUACUUUGGAGCCCUGAUCCCAGAUGUGUGCACCUGAACAUUCCUAUAAUAUGUUUGCUUCUCUUCAUUGUGAAUGGUGAAUUAGCACAUACAGACCAGACCUCGACACAUGAAGAGUGAAAUAUCAAUUGAAGUGAACUUGGAAUGGAAUGACAAUGACCUGGUUGACAGAGAAUCUGCACACACGUGUACAAUUCAUCCAGCAGAUUUACAAGCAGUGAAAAAAACCUUGCAAACAAAAUUGAGACAGAAAGGAAAUAAUCAUUUCAAAUGAGUUGUUGUCCAACAAGUAUUUAAUGCUUUUUUCCUUUUGUAAUGACAUUUGCUGCUAUGUGUGUCUGCUAAAGGUAACAAAUCAUUUUUGAGAUGCAAAAACCCUUGAAAAUUCCCUACAUUUAACUAAUGUAGUACAACGAGAUUGCAUUGUUUGCUUCACAGAUCAAAACCUCAUGCUUUUCUUUACAAUUUCGUACUGGUGGAUCCUGAUGGUGGUAAAAAUAUGAAUGUGAGGAUUUCCUUUCCGUCAGAGGUGCGAUUUUGAUACUAAUGUUCAUAAUGUGGUAACAGACAUUUUGGAAUAAGUCAAAACGUCACCUGUUUUUUAAUGCCUUUUUGAUUACAACAACUCCAGCUCUAUACUAAUAUGCUUGUGUGGACAGAGGUAAAGCUGAUGUUCCUGAAGGUUGAUGCCCAACCCCCACACACAAUUUACAUUUCUAUGUUGAGGUGCUACUGGAGACACUCUGCCAUGGCAAAGGAGACAAACAGGUUUUUGCUGUAGCACAGCUCAACAGGCUGACUUACAUUCAGAUCAAUGUACCUUGUAGUUAUGCAUGAAUAAAUUCUAUCAGUUUCAGAAGUUUUAUUCACUUUGCAAAUCGUGAUAAUCCAGGUAUUCACAGAAAACUGAACCAUUUAAGUCAAAUAAAUAAAUAAUUCUAGUUUCACUCAACAAAUGUGCCAGAAAUUUCAUGUCAGUACAACCUCUUGUCAUGUGUUGUUGUUGUUUUGUUUUGUUUUUAAACCUAGAAGUAUGAGUGUACUUUAAACACUUUAAAGUAGAUUUUUCCUGUUUCUGAAUAUGUUGAGCCUGUCUUUUUCAUUAUAGCAUGAACUGUCAUUUGUUACCUUUAACAGCAGCGGAGAAUUACAUCAGCCUACUACCAGUGAAAAACUGCUCUGUCGAUGCAGGAGUUUUUAACUUCCAAAGGCAUGGAAGGCCUCAUGAAAAUCAUCAGCUAAAACACACCUUGACCCGUACUUCAGAAUCCAUUGCUGAGUGAUAACUUACUGUAAGGCUCAGGUUAAACAAGCCAGAUUCAGACUUCUCAUCUGUUCUAGAUAAAUCUCUUUACAAGACACAGCAAUGACAAAAAAAAUCCCUACAAAUGGUCCCAUCAUUCCUUAAUUCACAGAUCAAGUGUGGGUGUUUUUUGGUUUUAGUUUUAUUCCUACUUUCUACAGAAAUGCAGAGCAAGACAUUCCUUUACAAAAACAAAGUGGAUCAAUAUUUGUUGGACAACAACUUCUCUACAAAGCUAGAUUCCUUUUCUGUCACAGCUCUGUUGUGUGUUGUCCAGUCCUUUUACAUCUGCUGGACGAACUGAGCAGACAUGUGUGUAGAUUGUCCUUCAGUCAAGCCCCUGUGUUGCUAGCCCAAUUCACAUCAAUUGAACUCUUCGUGUGUCUACGUCUGGUCUGGCUCCACUGAUUCACCAUUCAUGGGCGGGUGGAUCAAACAGGCUGCUGUGAUAUGGGAUUAUCAAACGAGCAGCUAUUAACACCAUGGGUGAAGUCAAUGAGAGGAAACAGGCAGCUGUAACUGCAACUCCACAUCGCUGUCUGUAAACAGUGGUAUUUUUCCUCAAGCUGACAUCAGCCAUGAUGCUAACAGCUAUUAUGCAACAGACAACCACUUGUCCACUCUGAGACAAGGUAAAUGUGGAUUCUCCUUCAUUGUUUUGCCUAUCCAAUUCACAUCAACUGAAACCCUAUAACCCUUCAUGCAUCUCCAUCUGGUCUAGCUGCACUGAUUCACCAUUCAAAUCAUGGCGACUAACGAUCUUUUUCCAAAGACCCAGUCACUGUUCAGAUCACUGUGCAGGGUUAUAUAUAUAUACUGGUCUCCUCACAGAAGUUUCAACUUGUCUUUUCUGUUUUGGGGAGCGACAGGUUUAAAGGACAGAAAGCAUUUUCACGUGUUUUUACUUCAUUGGAGAAUCAUCUACCUGAAUAUUUUAUUUGUGCAUCUUUCUAUCAAUAUAUAAAGAUAUAAUAGUUGUAUAGGUAAGUAUAUUGAAGAGGUACUGCCCUACCAUCCUUCAAGUUUUUUUCUUCCUUCAAGCAAAGAAAAUGUAAGGUAAGUUGCAGUUCUUUAAUUUUCUAAAACCUCUAUGUAAAUGCUAACAAUUUAAAAAUGACUUUUUUUCCACUUACAAUAUAAACAAAUUUAUUUAUUUAAUGUAAGUUAUUGUAUUAAUAAACCUAAAUAGAUGUUGUUUCAAUGGUCUUCUUUUUUCAACAUAUGGAGUGUAUUGCACAUAAAAUAUUAUUUCAUAUUUGACAGGAAAAUGAGACCCAGAAGAGUUUGUCCUGAAAAGGAAGCUUUGCACUUCAUUGCUUCUGGGCAAGAUAAAGGCUUGUUUCAGAAAAAAAUCAUCAAUCAGGAGAAAGGUUAUGGAGUGUUUGCCACUAAAAACAUUGAGCAAGGAGAAUUCCUGCUGGAGUAUGUUGGAAGACACAUCACUGGAUCUGAAGGAGAGGCACUGAGCUGACGAUGCAGCAUUUCUGUACUUCUACUGUUUUCAGGGACAAUCUUUCUGUGUCGAUGGCAGUAAAGACACAGCAAGACUUGGAAGAUUCAUAAAUGAUCACAUCAAGCCAAACAGCAACAUUAAAAUAAUAUUGGAUGAGCAGAAAAGGCCGCAUCUGUGUGCAUUUUCAAAGUCAAAUAUCAGUGCAGGAGAAGAAAUUGUGUAUGACUGCAGAGACCCUGACUGCCCAUGGAGACAGAAAACCAUUACCUCCUCAUGCAGGGAGCUCCAGGAAAAGGCGGUAAAUCAAAGACCGAAUCCCGCUGGAAGAGUUCAUUAGAAAACCUUGAAUCUCAGCCUGGCGUUACGAAAAUUGGGCAACUUGUUUUUAACAGCAACAAAGGCUGCAAAUGGAUGCAAUGCUGCUGAAAUUUUCCCAGGAGGGCUACGAAGUUGCAGUGAAAAGAGUUGCAAAGCAUAUUUCUGAAAAUGAGAUUAAAAUGGCACAUGUCCUAUGUUCAGAAAAGUUAAAACCAGAACAUCUUUUACAACCAAUUGCAGUGUUGGAAGAUAGUUACUUUGCCUAUUUUGUCUCCCCUCUUUGCGAAUACAGUCUGGUGGAGGUAAUUGAAAACAAGAACUUUCGUGAGAGAGAAAGUUUGACUGAGGCUCGAAGACUGGGGAUCUGCCAGGAGCUACUGCAAGGACUACAUUAAGUCCAUUCACGCGGGAUUUUGCACAGAGACCUGAAGCCUGAAAACAUUUUGUUUGAUAUCAGCAACAAACUGUUUAUCGCAGAUUUUGGAGCAAGCAGGAAACUGGAUUUGGCACAAUCAGCAUUGCUGUCUCAAAUGGCUGGAUCUUUUUCUUGGUCAAGUUAUGAGGAUGUUGGAGGCAUGCAAUGCAAGUACAAGAAAGAGUCAGAUAUCCAGGUAGCAGGGUGCCUGGUGCAUUACAUACUGACUGAUGGACAGCACCCCUAUCAAACAACUACACCCUACUCCAAGGAUCCAUUGGGAUUAUCUCAAAAUGUCAGAACGGGUAACUUUACUCUUCAGUGCGAAGAAAAGCAUCAAGGUAUCAUUGGCAGAAUGCUGUGUAAAUCGACAGAAGCACGCCCUACCAUUGAAGAAUGCCUUCAAGCCGUCGCAAGUUUCAUACACCAAGCUGAUCACAAGGGAGCCACAAACAACAGUAAUAACAAUGGAAAUAAAGACCAAACCCACAUAGCCAACUGCUCUCCUCAAACAUCAAAUGAGAUUGACAUUCAACACAAUGCUAACAGUGAUCAGCCAGGAAGUUUCUGCGAUGUAGUGAUGGAUUCAUCUUCUCACACUGAAGACGAUAUAUCUGUCAUUGAAAUGGAAAUAGAACCACAGAUCUCCCUUUCCCUUGAUAUGUCAGAGGAAGAAGAUGAUGAUGAUGAUGAUGAACCAGCAGAAGUGGAUGAUGAAGUAACCAAGAAAGUCAUCAGAAAAAAAGCAGUUAAGACUGGGAUGAAAAAGGAUGAAAAUGUCCUUGAAUGCAGUUUGAAGGGUAUCCAAGUCCUCAAACACCGCACACAAACAUGUCUACGAUAAGAAAAAUUACUGCUUCUAUUGUCAGAAGCCUUUCGGAAAAGUUACAAGACACCUGAUGCGAAAACAUCAAGAUGAAGUUGACGUUGCAAAGGCACUUGCACACAAGCAAGGAUCCACAAUGCGCAGUCUUCUUCUGAGCAAAAUAAGGAACGAGGGAAAAUAAAUAAAUCUUUGAUUUAUUUUAGAAUUUCAGCACGUUUUUUUUUGUGUGAAAGAUGCUUAAUUUAACCUCAAAGGUCAAACUUUUAUCAAACCCCUUUCAUUCCAUUAUUCAAACUUAUGCUUUGCCCAUAAUUGCGUUUUUGUUGGCGUGUUGAUCAAACACAUACACGCCAUGUUUGCUGCACACAAACACACUCUCCAGUGUGUUCUCCUCUCCAGGAAAACGCUGAUGGUGCAGACUUGUAACCCAUCCCCUCCCUUCCACAGCACACUUUUCCAUCCCAUGAAUUAUGUAUCUGAUUAAUUAGGCUCGUCAUUAUAGUAUAUGGUCAGCUGGAAACUCCCCUCUGUUCUAGUUCAAACAGGAAAUGGAUGUUUUUUUUCCCCCUCUCCGCUCGCCUGCCGUCAUUGUUGGCUGCGUGUUGUGGAUGGGAGGGAGGGCCCUGGGUUUUGUUGUACCCCUCGGGAUGCUGCAUGGCAUUGCACAGGGGAAUACAAUGAAAUAACAAGAUAACAAGAUAAAAGCCUCGUGUUGGACUUCAAAGCCCGACGACUGCUCGAAUAGAAGCGGAGUGAAACACAGUCUGCACCUUGGUGAUUUCAAAGAACAAGCAGGCAUUCAUGGAAGGCAGCGGUUCGAGGAGGAUACACGCACACACACGCACACACGCACACACACACGCACGCACGCACACACGCACACACAGGAAGUAUUAACACAGAUGUACACGUGAUACUGUGAAUACAUAAACAUCUCAGGAUGCACCUCAAAUCAUGCAGCACUCGAAGUGGCUCAGAUGUCUUUUGUACAUUAAUAUGACACUUUAGCUGAUCCUAACUGGAAUGAUCAAGCUGAGGGUUAGGGUUAGGGUUACCAUAUUAAUCCAAGCCUCAGUGAGCUCCGAUCUGCUGCCAAUAUAAUAAUAAUAAUACAUUUUAUUUGAAGCAGCCUUUCUCAGCACUAAAGGACAUCGUACAGACAUAUAUACACAAGGGCUGGACUUUAACGUAUUCAUUUCAAUCAAUUAAUUACAAAAAAAAUAACGUGUGGAAAAAAACGCAUUCAAUCACACCUUUCUCAGUUCCCUAAUUUCUGUCAUACUGGUAACACUGAUGCACACUCCAGCCCAGGAGGUGGCACUAAUGCACCUUAAGAAACUAUGAAAGUUUGGUGAACAACGAAAGAAGACGAGAUGCAUUGAGCUUGUUGGGAGGAAAGUUUUCUUUAAAAAAUCUUCCCGAUUGAUAAAAGCCUGGUUGUUGCAAAUUGUGCAACAAACAGUUUUCUGAUCACCUCAAUGUAAAACAUGUUGCUGUUAGCACCAGAGCUAACGUUAGCUCCGUCAGUCCUGGUACCGGCUAAUGGUAUAUCCAUCCCAUAAUAGACCACUUUCCAAGACACUGAAAGUGCUUGAGUUUACAAAAAGUCUUAAAAUGUGUAAUAUAAUCACUAUAAUGUCGCUUUGAGUUUGCAGUAAUCUGUGAAUGUAGCAGACAGAUAAAAAAUGCAGAUAAAUAGAAAUGAAACAAAUAUUUUAGCUGUUUAAGUUCACGUAUAUGAAUAUUCAUCUAUUCAGUCAUCAACCAACAUUAAUUUGGGUUGAAAAACUCUGUUUUUGAGUCAAACAUUGAUAUUUUACAAAAAUGCGAUUGAUUGCGAUUAACUACAAAGCUUCAAAUUAAUUAGAUUUUUUAAAAUCAUGUAACACCACUAAUAUAUACACAGAAUACACAUUAACAAAGCGUAAAAACAAUACGAUGUUACCCUGUUCAGCACUAAAAACCUUUAAGGUGUAAAUUUCCAGCAAACCCUCGUAAUUCUUGGACACAGUAAGUGCCGUCUUUGCAAUAAAUUUGCGUAUCACAGUGGAGACAGUUAAAUGUGCACAUGGAGGCUCGUGACAGGAUGAAGGCGAUACAGUGAAGCUCACACCUCUCACUCCCUGUCAGGUCCACACACACACACACACACACACACACACACACACACACACACACACACACACACACACACAGUUUACAAGCUUUAAUUCACUGCUCUCACACCGUGGAGUAAAGGGAGGCUGCUGGGAGGCGGCUCUGCGUUGUGAAUCCUUUGGCCUUUCAUCGAUCCAGGCCUUCAAUAGUUCUGCAUUGAUUGUUCUGCUUUCCUUGUCCAGAGAUCAGUCACGUACCUGUCCACUGACACCCUGCGGCCAGCAGCGUUCUUUAUGCUGGCACAGCAGUGAGAUUACACAGGCAAAGUUUAACAAGCCGGUCUGUUAUGCUAAUUGUGUCUCAGAGCAAUAGCUUUUGAAAUGCCUGAAGAUUUAGGCGUCCUUAAGCUUUAAACUCGGUGAGACCAUGAAUGUGUGUGUGCGUGUGUGUGUGUGUGUGUGUGUGUGUGUGUGUGUGUGUCAUCAUCCUGGCUCGGCUGCAAACGCUGUCGAAUGGCAUUACUGUGAUGUACAGUAUCUGUGUGCUCCUGCAUGUGUGUGUGUGUUUCCUGUAAUCAUCCUGUGUAUGUUUGCGAUGAUGAAUGAAGCGCUGGCUGUCUGGCGGAUGCUGUUUAAUCAUGCAAAUCAGCACCGGCGCUCUUCCCCUGCAAGGAUAUUGUGGCCAAUGCUGGACAGCGAGCGAGGCCGACCUCCUCCUGACUGAUUUACUUCGCUGUGAAUGACACCACGGCUCUAACGGAAAGGAGGACAGGGAAGAGAAGCAAGAAAUGAAAGACAGAAAACCUCAGGAGGAAACAGAGAAAUAUUAGAGAGAAGGCAGCACAAUGCUGAUCCAUCAUGUGGGUUCACUGGGUGUAUAUGUUCUGUGUUUUCAAUCAAUUCCUCCCGGUACAGAAUGCUGCACUCAACUACUAGGAAGAAAAUGCUUCCUAACUCUUCUGAUUAUUCUGCCAGAGAUCAUGCAGCUUAUUGGCAUGUGACAUGACCAUAAUAACAAGCCUUAAAGGGGAAUAAUUAUGCAGGUGGUAAGCAAAACAAGUCAGCAGAGUCAGGUUUAUCCAGCGCUGCUGAGCUGUAGGACAUUAGAUCUGGAGGACUGGUGUCUGUUGGGGCACCUAUGUGUCAGCUGGAAGUGUGUGGCUGCGUGUGUUUUGGAGGAUGAAGUCAACGAGGACUGACGUUUGCACUGAUGUGCACUGAAAUAGAGAAUUCAGAGCGGACUGACAAACACCUGACUCUCACCUCCAAACGAGGAGCAGGUCCACGCUGGGGUUCGGCACACAUUUAGAGAUGAACGGGUUCCAGAACUGGAGGACAUUUCACGUCCCAGCCAUCAAAUUUCUAAUAAUCCAUGUAGAAAAUACUAAAACAUGCAGUAGUUGUGUAAAUGUUCUUGUCCUGAGACCAAAUCUAUAAAAACUAGGAGAAAAGAAUAUUUGAAAAUAUUUUUUAAAAAACCAAAUAAGUCUGGAGUUCCCCUAAAAUGCCAUUUUUCUCUUGUCCCACCCCCUGAUGACCAAACUGAAUCUCUAAGUUCAAAUGAAAUUUAAAUCUACUUUUUUGUUAUUAUUUUUUUCAUUGAUGUCUCUGUAAAUGAGAGAACAUUUUUUAAAUCAACAUAAAAUUUUAAACAAUAAAUAUACAUGGAACAUGUGUCCCACAACAUGUUAGCAUAACCUGUUGAUAUUUUUGUAGUUUUUUGUCUUGUUUUUGUCAUUUUGUGUCUUGUGUCUGUCAUUUUGGGGUUUUUUUUGUGGUUUCGUGUCCUGUUUUUGUCAUUUUGUGCCUUGAAUUUGUCAUUUUCUGUCUCAUUUUCUCCAUUUUCUGUCUUGUUUUUGUCGUUUACGUCAUCCAACAGUGUUCCUAUAGAAUGUGUAGAGCAAAGCUAUGUCCUCUCUUCUAUCUUCCAUCUUUUCAUCCCAUUGUCAGCCUUGAUUGAAUGUCUCACUCUACCUCAUAUUAUCAGGAUCAGACUAAUUCUUUGGACUGUUUUCCAUCAGUCAGUUUGUCCUCUUGGUCAGCAGUAACAGCAGCUAAAUAUCUAGCUUCUACUGCUGAGAAAAAGAUCACAUUAGCAUGGAUUAGCAACCCUGUUACUGUGAUUAGAGUAGGGUUAGCAAACAACACAGAAAACAUGGAAUAAAAAUGCUGCCAUUGAUGUGGAAGCUGAGCCAAUCAAUACCUAUUAUUGAUGAAUAUGGAGCAGAAAACUGUAAAAGAGAAGGUUUAUUUUUCAUCCUCCACUUCUGGAAUGACCCAUAUUGUGAAUACACAGUACACAUGACAUUUUGCUUGCUUUGGGUUUAAGGAAAUAGCUCAGCAGCAGCCCCUCUUUUCUUGAUUUCAGAUAACACAUUGACAUUUGGUGGCUCUUUCUAAACCCAAACAUUUGUGGUUAAAAUCUUUCAAUCUUUCAUCCAGACGUGUCCAGAGAUACAGUCUGAACCUGAUGGUGAACUAAUCAGAGGUGUUUCUGGAGGCGGUGAGCCAUGAUUUGAUAUUCUCCUUGAUGACUUGUCUGAUGCUUUUCUUUCAGGUUCAGCUGAUUCUCACUGGACACGUCUCAGAAUCAAAGCUUCAUCGUCAAAUCUGAUUUCUUUAAGAUGAUUUGUGCUGCACCUAAAACCAUCUGAAGAGAGGUUGAUCCAUGAGAAGCGUAAACCUCAGCUGACUGAGCGCGUCACGGUGCAGCCUGCAAAAACGCUGUUUUUUCAUUGCAUCUGCCGUGCUUUAUAUCCCCCUGUUAUUACUGCACACAGCCUUGUGAAAAUAAUGAGAUCACAUGAACUGUGUGAGUGCUGGACUGCUGGACAGCCUGUCUGAGCUCGGAGCAGGAGAUGAUUACUAAGCUGUUUGUUGCUGUCAGUUCCAAACACAAACCAGAGUGAUGCAACCGUUGUAAAGAUGCUCCAACGUGUCUGUUUGCACCUUAGUAAGGCGAAGUGCAUCUGUAGUGUUAAAUGUCUUCAUGCAUCACUGUCAGGAGAACACGAGACGACAGGCAAAGACUGACUGAACACACAAACAGAUGUCAUAUAAAACAUGUGGAUGCUAUUAAUGAUACUUGCUGGUAUUACAGCCUUAGCUUGAUAGACAAAUACACCACCAUUGAAAAGUUUGGGGUCAGUGUUUGAGCUAGAAUGGUCAUUUACCACAUUAACAAUGUCUACACUGGAUUUAUCAUUCAUUUAAUGUUAUCUUCAUUGAAAAAAAUUAUUUUCUUUCAAAAAUAAGGACAUUUCUAAGUGACCCCAAACUUUUGAAUGGUAGUGUGCAUGAGUUAAAGUUGCUCUACGUUAAUGAUAGUUGCUCUACAUUAAAAUUACUCUAUAUUAGUUAAAGUUGUUCCAUAGUAGUUAAAUUCAGAUUCUGAAAGAUUUAUUUGUCCCCAGGAGGCAAUUAAAAAGGCACAUAGAGCAGGCAAGGCAACAAUGACGUCGAAAAUUGAGUAGAAAACAAGAAAUUAGAGAUAAGUAACAUAAAUAAACAAACAGGGAUAAAUAUAUAUACUAAUGUAUAACAAAUCUGCACCCUCCUAGCUAGAAGAAUAAUCUUACAAAAAUGGAAAGAAGCAUUGCCACCCACACAUGGAGGCUGGGUCAAAGAGGUCACGUACUAUAUUCAAUUAGAGAAGAUUCGCUACUCUACAAGGGGAUCGAUACAAAAAUUCUAUGAUGUCUGGCAACCUUUUUAGACUUUUUUGGAAAAUGUGAAGGCAGAUGACAUUUCUUAAUGUGGUAUAAUUUAUCUCUGUUUCUGUAUUUGUAUGUUUUGUUUAUUUAUUCUGUUUGUUUUUUUCUUGAGCACCUAUGAUUUAUACACAUCUGUGGAACUUCUGUCCUGAGCUAUCUGGCUUUUGUGCAGUUGUUGCAGGGUGGGAUGGGGAGGGGGAUAAAAGAAAAAGAAAUUAAUGGAAAAUAAUUGUAUGAAUGUUAUUUGUGUUAUCCAAAAUUUUAAAAAAGACCUUCAACAAAUGUAGAACAAAUAAAAAAAUAAUAAUAAAAAAUAGACUGAAAAGAUGCAAAAAAAAGAAGAAAAAUCAAAACUUAGUAACAUAUUAGUGCAAAUACAGAUGAACAAUGUACACAGGUGCAAAUUGGCAAUGCGAUAAGUUGCCCUAUAAUGUUUAAAGUUGCUCUAAAUGAGUUAAAGUUGCUCCAUAUUAGUUAAAGGUGACCUUCACUAACGUUCAACAGUUUGGGGUCACCCAGACAAUUCCAUGUUUUCCAUGAAAACUCCCACUUUUAUCCAUGUGCUAACAUAACUGCACAAGGGUUUUCUAAUCAUCAAUGAGCCUUUCAACACCAUUAGCUAACACAAUGUAGCAUUAGAACACAGGAGUGAUGGUUGCUGGAAAUGUUCCUCUGUACCUCUAUGGAGAUAUUCCAUUAAAAAUCAGCUGUUUCCAGCUAGAAUAGUCAUUUACCACAUUGACAAUGUCUACACUGGAUUUAUCAUUCAUUUUCCCAUGAGCAUACGCAGCGACAAACAGAGAGUAGACGUCUACUUUAGUCAUUUUUAGCCGACUGCAGACCAUAUGUGCAGGAGAGUGAACAUCUGCCACAGAACGGGGAGAACACGUACACAAGAACAACAGAUCUGCAACCAUACGUCCCCCAGAGAGAGCAGAAGAAGGUCAUGCUGCACGUUCCCAACUCUUGUAAAACCAAUAAACCCGGUAAAUUAGCCAACAGCGUCACCUGAGACCAGGCGAGUAAGAAAAUACCCGUCCGAAAAACAAUAUUUCACCCAAUACGCCUCGCCUAAACAGGAAUGAGCUCAUUUUGGAGCCAAACUGAGUUUUGUUUGGACUGUAAUGAAUUCAAAUCAGAGUAAAGCAGGUUUAAUUUUCUUUUUAUGGCUGGAAUGUAUUUGGUGAUUUAUUUUUCUGCGGUAGUCGCUCUGAAAGGACGACAAAUCUGUUGGGAAAGGGAACCCACAAUAUUGAAAUAGAUUCUUUAAUUGCUGCUCGUCGUUUGUCUGAUAGCUUUCCCUCAGAUCUGUAGUGAUGAUCUGUUUUAUCCUAGGGAGGGAUUUCAUUUUCACUAAGACUUUGGUGCAUUUUAGUGAAGUGCCAUUCAGGAGCUUCUACACCAGAUGUGACAAAUAUUCUUUAUUGCAUGGAGUUUCAGUACCAGCUUUUUUUCCCUUCAUAAGUGGAACUAAACAUAGCUGGAAGGCAGGAAAUCAGUGCACAGGUAUGAAAGGAAGUUCCUCGACUUUGGAUGAAUCACGCUUCCUUUACUCGUCUUUUGUUUACUGGAUGUCAUCUCCCCAUUAACCUUUUCUCAUCUACAAACCGAACACAGCGUCCUGUCCUUCGAUGUCCCUCAAAGACCUGUUGGCUGAUCCGAACAGAACGCAGAUGUCAAACAAGAGGAUCUUUUUUAUUCACAUCUAUCAGCCUCUACAUUGUUCUCCUUUGGUUUCUUCAGUAAAUCUAAUAAACUGGUAAAGAUGGGAGUCUGUGAUUUUAGAGAAAAAAUGUUGAGAUCUUGUUGAGUAGCAUCGCAGGGUCCGUGUACAGAUCUGGCAAUUGGAUUUUCCGUUCUGAAACGGGUAUUGAAAAACCAAAAAAACGAGUGAUUAUUUGAUUUUCGUUUUAAAAAUCCAAAAAUUAAAAUUGGAAUACAAGGCGUUUUUCCUUUUCAUGAUCAAAACGGGAUAUACGAUUUUUUUUUAAAUGCUUUGAUUUUCGUUUUAUAUUUAGAAUAACAAGAAAGUAAAAUCAGUAAGAGAGAGAAACGAAAAAAGGUCCGUUUUUUCAUUUUCUGAGACCGGAAGUGGUCAUCAGGAAGUGUGGAGCCAAACAGAGUACGGUUCAUAGACUGUACAUACAUUUUUUUCCCCGUUAGUUUUAAUGGUCAAAAUGAGAGAUCAGGUGACCGAUCCUAAAAUAAAUCAAUAUUGAAUUUUUUAUAGAGCGUUAAAGUUUUGCGAAGCCAGGGGGCGGGACUACUUGAUUGACAGUCUGGUCUGGAAUGAUUGACAGGUCCUAUGGAGGAGGAAGCAGAGACUCUGCUCUCCUCGUUUGGAUUAGUUCUGAUAUAAUAACUGUUGGUUUAUUUAUCAGUGCAGUAGCAGAACAUUUUCCACAGACAGUUUUCCUGCCCGUUGGCUUGUUUUAACCAGUUUUCUGCCUUCAGCUGAUUCUACCAGGAGACAUUGAAAGGACUCUGAUAGUUCGGUAAGUUAAUGUUUACUUUCGUAUCGGUGCCGCUUUUAAUGCACUUUAUAUGCAGCUUUAGUGUCAGAUAUAAUGUGUGCCAUGCACUCCAGAUGUUGGUGGAGUUUGUUUCAGUGUGUGUUGACCAGAGAAGAAAGUUAGCAUAGUAAAUAUUAGCUUCAAUGUUAGCGAUGCUAACCGAGCUACCUCCUCAGUGUUCCUGUAAUGUGGUUCAUUAAGUUCAUAAAACUGUGGCUGGUUGACAUUAAUGUAACGUUCAGGAAACUUAAAUGUGAUUAAAACAGUAACGUUAAUGUUCUAGUUGUCAGUAAUCAGCUUUAAUUUGACACUAAAACAGACUGAUAGUUUUAAAUGACAUCAGUUUCAUUAAUUUGUUGAAAAUUAUCUCAUUUGUUGUUGUGAUGUUGCUGCUGAUUCAUUAAAACCAGAUGAUCCGUGUUGAAGACACGUUUAGUUCUUGUAUCAGAAGCACAAGAAGGAAAAUGGAAGUUUAGUUCUGCUACGUCAAAGAUUUCAGGAAUAAAAUAACUAAAUGAGUCUUUAUGCCUCAAACUUUAUUUUACAAUAAUGAAAUAACCACAGAUAAUAAAAUAUAAAUAGCAGAGAAAACCUGAGAAUAAUUUCCUGAAAAGUCUGUGAAGGAAAAGCAGCUUUUUAUCCUGAAAGAUCAGAAUCAGCUCCAACAUCUGCAUCUGACAGCAUCAAGUCAACCAGAAAGAAAAGCAAAAAGAAAAUGACUUCUUUCUGAUCACAUCUGUUCCGCUGCUCACAGGCUGCUGCUCACAUUCCUCACAUUUAUUGUCCACUUUUAUAAGUUCAGCAGACAGGUGCUCUGCUUUGGAGUGUGACGAUGUCGUCGGUGAUGUGGAGAAUGAAGUUUCCGUUUCAUCUACAGUGUGCUUUAGGGCAGCCGGGUCAGACUUGAUGCUUGAAAUACUGACCGAAAGCUCAGAUUUAACUGUCUGUAGUUCCGUUUUGAUGGGUGUUAAACUUUCACUCCAAGCCGCCAGGAGCUGGGUGUUUAAAAUAACCGCCGUCUCAUUACAGAGUGAAAGUAGCAGUUCCUCCUGAAAGUCAGAGAUUGCAGCAUCUGAGGGCCUCAUCAAAAGAAGACGUAGUUGAUGAAGGUGUUCUGGAGCAGGGCUAGAAAGACCACGACCAAGCAGCCUUGAGAUCUUAGGCAGCUUCUCCCUCAGGUGGGUGUCAAUGGUGUUCAGGCCAGGUCUGUGGUAAUCCCGUCAAAAAACAAAGCAACAAAAAAUCUAGAUUAUAAAUCAAACGUCAUAGUAUAGCAUGUGGCUCUAAAAACGUCAUAGUGUAGCAUGUCGCUCUAAAAAUGUCGUAGUAUAGCAUGGCGCUCUAAAAACAUCAUAGUAUAGCAUGUCGCUCUAAAAACGUCAUAGUAUAGCAUGUCGCUCUAAAAAUGUCAUAGUAUAGCAUGUCGCUCUAACAAACGUCAAAGUAUAGCAUGUCGUCCAAAAAACGUCAUAGUAUCGCAUGUCGCUCUAAAAACAUUACAGUAUAGCAUGUUGCUCUAAAAACGUCAUAGUAUAGCAUGUCGCUCAAAAAACAUCAUAGUAUAGCCUUUGGUCUGAAAACGUCAUAGUAUAGCAUGUCGCUCUAAAAACGUCAUAGUAUAGCAUGUCGCUGAAACAACGUCAUAGUGUAGCAUGUCGCCCUAAAAAUGUCAUAGUAUAGCAUGUCGCUCUAAAAACGUCAUAGUAUAGCAUUUCGCUCAAAAAACGUCAUAGUAUAGCCUGUCGCUUUAAAAACGUCAUAGCGUAGCAUGUCGCUCUAAAAACAUCAUAGUAUAGCAUGUCGCUCUAAAAACGUCAUAGUGUAGCAUGUCGCUCUAAAAACAUCAUAGUAUAGCCUUUGGUCUAAAAAUGUCAUAGUAUAGCAUGUCGCUCAAAAAACGUCAUAGUGUAGCAAGUCACUCUAAAAACGUUAUAGUAUAGCAUGUUGCUCUAAAAAUGUCAUAGUAUAGCAUGUUGCUCUAAAAACGUCAUAGUAUAGCAUGUCGCUCAAACAAUGUCAUAGUGUAGCAUGUCGCCCUAAAAACAUAGUAUAGCAUGUUGCUCUAAAAACGUCAUAGUAUAGCAUGUCGCUCUAAAAACGUCAUAGAAUAGCAUGUCGCUCUAAAAACAUCAUAGUACAGCAUGUCGCUCUAAAAACGUCAUAGUGUAGCAUGUCGCCCUAAAAUUGUCAUAGUUUAGCAUGUCACCCAAAAAACGUCAUAGCACAGCAUUUCACCCAAAGAACGUCAUAGUAUAGCCUGUCGCUCUAAAAACAUUACAGUAUAGCAUGUUGCUCUAAAAACGUCAUAGAAUAGCAUGUCGCUCAAAAAACGUCAUAGUAUAGCCAUUGGUCUAAAAACGUCAUAGUAUGGAGUGUCACUCUAAAAGCGUCAUAGUGUAGCAUGUCGCUCUAAAAACGUCAUAGUAUAGCAUGUUGCUCUAAAAAUGUCAUAGUAUAGCAUGUUGCUCUAAAAACGUCAUAGUAUAGCAUGUUGCUCUAAAAACGUCAUAGUAUAGCAUGUCGCUCUAAAAACGUCAUAGUACAGCAUGUCGCUCUAAAAACGUCAUAGAAUAGCAUGUCGCUCUAAAAACGUCAUAGUACAGCAUGUCGCUCUAAAAACGUCAUAGUGUAGCAUGUCGCCCUAAAAUUGUCAUAGUUUAGCAUGUCACCCAAAAAACGUCAUAGCACAGCAUUUCACCCAAAGAACAUCAUAGUAUAGCCUGUCGCUCUAAAAACAUUACAGUAUAGCAUGUUGCUCUAAAACCGUCAUAGAAUAGCAUGUCGCUCAAAAAACAUCAUAGUAUAGCCAUUGGUCUAAAAACGUCAUAGUAUGGAGUGUCACUCUAAAAACGUCAUAGUGUAGCAUGUCGCUCUAAAAACGUCAUAGUAUAGCAUGUUGCUCUAAAAACGUCAUAGUAUAGCAUGUCGCUCAAACAAUGUCAUAGUGUAGCAUGUCGCCCUAAAAACAUAGUAUAGCAUGUUGCUCUGAAAACGUCAUAGUAUAGCAUGUUGCUCUAAAAACGUCAUAGUAUAGCGUGUUGCUCUAAAAACGUCAUAGUAUAGCAUGUCACUCU